UACGUAGGGGGCAAGCGUUGUCCGGAAUCAUUGGGCGUAAAGCGCGUGUAGGCGGCUCGAUAAGUCCGCUGUGAAAGUCCAGGGCUCAACCCUGGAAUGCCGGUGGAAACUGUCGGGCUAGAGUCCGGAAGAGGCGAGUGGAAUUCCUGGUGUAGGCGGUGAAAUGCGCAGAUAUCAGGAGGAACACCAAUGGCGAAGGCAGCUCGCUGGGACGGUACUGACGCUGAGGCGCGAAAGCGUGGGGAGCGAACAGG
rnacentral:rRNA from 1 species